UUCACUUAUCAGCACAAAAAUCAUUUGUUCAUUCAAUUCUCUUUACCAACACGCAAGUUGCUUCUGAAACACUUUUUGUCAUAUUUGUUGAAACUGUCUUUAUACACCAAGGCAUAUUAAAAAGUUAGGUGCUCUGAAAAGGAGAGUAUAAAAAUUGUCUGUCUGUAGUCCUCUCAGGGCUGCAGUAAACUAGCCACUCGUUUCAUUCGGACUGAAUGCAAUGAUUGGCUGGGUGACUCUCCCUUGCUGCUAUGGCUACCAGCCGUGCUGCUAGAGGAGCUGCACCCGUGCGCGCACCCGGUCAGCUCUCUCAGACCUGACGAGCGAAGCGGUCAGACCGGAGGUAUCUGCGUGGCUUUUCAACGAUAGUGACUGACAACUGAGGAACACCAAGGGGCUGAAAAGUUACACCGUGUGGCUUUAUUUCUGCUGGACAGGUCACCUGCAGUCUUCCAACACCCUGUGCUUCUCACCAGUGCACUGAUCGGACCAAGCUGGCUGGUCUGGAUUACAACCACCAUGUCCACAGACCAGCCAGGAGAAAAGCUGAUGACACAGUUCAGUACAGCAAGGUGUACAACAAAAAGUCCAGGAAGUGGAGCUUGUACUCAU